GACGAACGCUGGCGGCGUGCCUAAUACAUGCAAGUCGAACGCAGUGGGGACGGGUGAGUAACACGUGGGUAACCUCCCAUCAAAGGGGAUAACACUUGGCAACAGGUGCUAAACCGAUACUGAUUGAUGGACCCGCGGUGCAUUAGCUAGUUGGUGAGGUAACGGCGCACCAAGGCCACGAUCCAUAGCUGGCCUGAGAGGGUGACCGGCCACACUGGAACUGAGACACGGUCCAGACUCCUACGGGAGGCAGCAGUUGGGAAUAUUGGGCAAUGGACGAAAGUCUGACCGAGCAACGCCGCGUGAGUGAAGAAGGCUUUCGGAUUGUAAAGCUCUGUCAUUAGAGAAGCGGUAUCUACCCAGAAAGCAACGGCUAACUACGUGCCAGCAGCCGCGGUAAUUC
rnacentral:rRNA from 1 species